rnacentral:rRNA from 1 species
GACGAACGCUGGCGGCACGCCUAACACAUGCAAGUCGAACGAAAAUGUUUCACCGUAGCUUGCUACACCGAGACAUUUUAGUGGCGGACGGGUGAGUAACACGUGAGGAACCUGCCUAUCAGAGAGGGAUACCGUUUGGAAACGAACGUUAAUACCUCAUAACGUAACGAGAUCGCAUGAUAAUGUUACCAAAGAUUUAUCGCUGAUAGAUGGCCUCGCGUCUGAUUAGAUAGUUGGUGAGGUAACGGCUCACCAAGUCGACGAUCAGUAGCCGGACUGAGAGGUUGAACGGCCACAUUGGGACUGAGACACGGCCCAAACUCCUACGGGAGGCAGCAGUGGGGAAUAUUGCACAAUGGGGGAAACCCUGAUGCAGCGACGCCGCGUGAGUGAAGAAGUAUUUCGGUAUGUAAAGCUCAUCAGCAGGGAGAAAAUGACGGUACCUGACUAAGAAGCCCCGGCUAACUACGUG